rnacentral:tRNA from 1 species
GGCCGCUUGGUGGAACCGGUAGACACAAGGCACUUAAAAUGCCUCGGGCCUUGCCCGUGUGGGUUCGAGUCCCACAGCGGCCA